rnacentral:rRNA from 1 species
UACAGAGGUCUCAAGCGUUGUUCGGAUUCAUUGGGCGUAAAGGGUGCGUAGGCGGCGCGGUAAGUCGGGUGUGAAAUCUUGGAGCUUAACUCCGAAACUGCAUUCGAUACUGCCGUGCUUGAGGACUGGAGAGGAGACUGGAAUUUACGGUGUAGCGGUGAAAUGCGUAGAUAUCGUAAGGAAGACCAGUGGCGAAGGCGGGUCUCUGGACAGUUCCUGACGCUGAAGCACGAAGGCCCAGGGGAGCAAAACGGG